UUAACACAUGCAAGUCGAACGAUGAACCUCCUUCGGGAGGGGAUUAGUGGCGAACGGGUGAGUAACACGUGGGCAAUCUGCCCUGCACUCUGGGACAAGCCCUGGAAACGGGGUCUAAUACCGGAUACUGACCCGCUUGGGCAUCCAAGCGGUUCGAAAGCUCCGGCGGUGCAGGAUGAGCCCGCGGCCUAUCAGCUUGUUGGUGAGGUAAUGGCUCACCAAGGCGACGACGGGUAGCCGGCCUGAGAGGGCGACCGGCCACACUGGGACUGAGACACGGCCCAGACUCCUACGGGAGGCAGCAGUGGGGAAUAUUGCACAAUGGGCGAAAGCCUGAUGCAGCGACGCCGCGUGAGGGAUGACGGCCUUCGGGUUGUAAACCUCUUUCAGCAGGGAAGAAGCGAAAGUGACGGUACCUGCAGAAGAAGCGCCGGCUAACUACGUGCCAGCAGCCGCGGUAAUACGUAGGGCGCGAGCGUUGUCCGGAAUUAUUGGGCGUAAAGAGCUCGUAGGCGGCUUGUCACGUCGGUUGUGAAAGCCCGGGGCUUAACCCCGGGUCUGCAGUCGAUACGGGCAGGCUAGAGUUCGGUAGGGGAGAUC
rnacentral:rRNA from 1 species